AAACACGGACCAAGGAGUCUAGCGUGUGCGCGAGUCAUUGGGAUAUAACUAAACCUAAAGGCGCAAUGAAAGUGAAAGUCCGCCUCGCGCGGACAGAGGGAAGACGGUCGAUCCCGCGGGAUCGGCCCGCACUCCCGGGGCGUCUCGUUCUCAUCGCGAGAAGAGGCGCACCAAGAGCGUACACGCUGGGACCCGAAAGAUGGUGAACUAUGCCUGGUCAGGACGAAGUCAGGGGAAACCCUGAUGGAGGUCCGUAGCGAUUCUGACGUGCAAAUCGAUCGUCGGAACUGGGUAU
rnacentral:rRNA from 1 species